UGGUGCUGCUCUGAGCUGGCCUCUCACUGGUCGCCCCUAACCUGUAACCACAGAUAUAGCUAACAGAGGUUUAGAGCAGUGAAACUGAGGAGUAAUCCCAGCUCCAAAUUCCAGUUUGAUAGUACAGAACUAACAUGUCGUAUCCUUUUAUCAAAGAGCUUUGUACCCUUUAAAGAGAAACCGCUUAUGUGGAAUCUGAGCUCUAGGAGCAAUAACUCCUAUGUAGCAGAUAAUUUUCUGGCUUUCAAGUAAUGUGAACUGAAGUCUGGAAGAUAUUGCUCAAGUUUGUCUAAUUAACUUCCUGUCACCAGCAGCCAAGGCGUAGAGCUCAGGAUGUACGGGAACCAGAAUUUAAGGUCUAUCGAAGGGGGUGAUUCUUUUCAAUACCCACUGUACCUUUGGAUCUGCCACUUUCGUUCAUGUAUACCCAGUAUGAGUUUGCACAUCGAGAACCACUGUUCUGAACUCACACAGCUCAUUGCCUGAGCAAACCAGUUAUUGAAACAGGGCAAAUAUUGCUUAUAAUUAAUAGGAAACCAUCUGAACAGAGGUUUCCUUCCUCUUUGCCAAAAAAGAAAGAUAAAACAGUACAUUUGCUCAGAAUACAUGUAAAUGCUGUUUAAGAAGUAAGAAACGAGACUAUCAGUAUAUUUUAGUAAAAUGCACAAUAGAACACAAGAAAUAAAAUUUUGCUAUGUGCUAAAAAUAAUAGAAUCCUGCUAGGAACAAGUGGUGCUCUUUUUCUUUUUGCUGUAAAUUUCACCUUUGAUAGGAUAAAAAGAUGAAAUGAUUUUGGUUUUUUUAAAGAGAUUUUGGAACAAAAAUUUAAUAAUGUGUCAGGAAAUAGAUACUAAAGUAGAAUGAUACUAAAGUCAGAAACUAUGUACUACAGAGUGCUUUAAGAGACCAUUUAAAAACUACUAAUUAGAGACAGAUCAAUGAACAUAGAUCAUAGCAGGACAUCAAUUUCCUUUUGUCCUUCCAAAUCUAGUUGCAUUAAUUAACUCUCUCUUUGGCCUCAAUCCUAAUGUAGAGUUGUAUUCAUGAUGAUAAUAAUUUUUCUGCCUUGGAGACCAGUAUAGAAGGAGGAGAAUUUUGCCGCUUUUACAUUAGAGUUUCUAUAGAUUCAUUAUAACACAUUAACUGAGUGGCCAGUCAAAGACAAUCCUUUAAAACAACAACAACACAAAAUCUUAUUUGUACAACUUUAGGUAGGUCUGCUUAGGAUGUGAUCUUUAAUUUUCUUUUUUGGAAGAAUGUAAGGAUAGAGGAAUUGUUUUUAGUUUCUUACUUACAGUUUUUGUUCAUUGAUUGGUGGAGGCAAAGUUCUAUGAAUCUCUAACUUAUGGGCAAUAUAUUACUAUGAAUUCGCAGGAUUGUCUUGGGAUCCAUCACCUGCAAGUGAUAAAAUGCAAUAUUCAGGUUCUUACUUGCUGUCUCACACAUUUUAUUAUUUUACCUUAUCUUGUACUUCUUACUUUGGGUUUGAGUCAAUCUUGCCUUUUAUCUCUGCAAUCCUGAUUCUGCAGUCAAUCAUGACUGUGCUCAAGCCCUGGUUAGGCUUACAGUAGGCUUAGGAAAGCAUGUACAUUCUCUAAUCAGCUUCGGUUCAGUUCCCACAUAGCAACCAGGACACUGGAAUGUACUAUGACACUUGGGAGAAAGGUAGAGCAUGUUGCUACUCUGAAGGAAAGGAAAGCAUGUAUAAACGGGAAUUGGUUUUUCUCAGAAAUACUUAGUUAAGGGCAAUUGGUCUUGAGGAUAGUUCAUCUGUUGUGCCUUUAUCCUGCGGUUGUGACUUAGAUGGCUUUCCCCCACUAGCACACACUGUACAAUCUUGCUCAAAGCAAGCAGCCUCAAUGUGUAGAAGUCAUGUUUUGUCCAUCGUGUCUUAGACAAUUUUUCUUUGGCUGAUGUAGCUGUCAUAAUCAGGCCUUGAUAAGAACUGCUGCCAGACACAGCCAAUCAGUCCCAUGUUAUCAUCUGGAAAUGAUCAGAGCACUUGAGUUAGACUGAAGCCAUUUUUUAUAGGAUUGAUUCAUUCCUUAUUUCUGGGUUGUGCUAUGUUAUUGUUAUUGUUGUUGCUGCUGAUGCUGCUGUCCCUGCCUAAUUCACAAGGGUUGUCUGUUUUACAUUGUAAAUAGUAAAGCUUAGUUUGUUGUGUGAACCCAAAGCCUUAAGCAUGCUUUGAAGUCUGUGGCUUUGUAAUUCAAAAGUCAUCUGGAUAGUGUCUGCUCUUUUGCCAGCUUUAAUCAAUGUACAAUAAUAAAUUAUCAUAUCAAAGUGUUCAGUGGCUUCUCCAUGAUGUAGUACCAUAGCUGUUUGGACUAAUUUCCUGAGAUGACUCUAAACCCUUGCAUCCGUCUGCAUUAAAC